GGCCCAGACUCCUACGGGAGGCAGCAGUGAGGAAUAUUGGUCAAUGGGCGCGAGCCUGAACCAGCCAAGUCGCGUGAGGGAGGACGGCCCUACGGGUUGUAAACCUCUUUUGCCGGGGAGCAACGGGCGUCACGUGUGGCGCCACUGAGAGUACCCGGAGAAAAAGCAUCGGCUAACUCCGUGCCAGCAGCCGCGGUAAUACGGAGGAUGCGAGCGUUAUCCGGAUUUAUUGGGUUUAAAGGGUGCGCAGGCGGAGGCACAAGUCAGCGGUAAAAUCGCGGGGCUCACCCCCGCUCCGCCGUUGAAACUGUGUCCCUUGAGUGCGCGAAGGGUAGGCGGAAUGCGUGGUGUAGCGGUGAAAUGCAUAGAUAUCACGCAGAACUCCGAUUGCGAAGGCAGCAUACCGGCGCCCAACUGACGCUGAAGCACGAAAGCGUGGGUAUCGAACAGGAUUAGAUACCCUCGUA
rnacentral:rRNA from 1 species